GACGAACGCUGGCGGCGUGCUUAACACAUGCAAGUCGAACGGACAGGCCCUGCUUUUGUGGGUUGCUCGUGUGGCGAACGGGUGAGUAACACGUGAGUAACCUGCCCUUGACUUUGGGAUAACUUCAGGAAACUGGGGCUAAUACCGGAUAGGAGCUCCUGCAGCAUGGUGGGGGAUGGAAAGUUUCGGUGGUUGGGGAUGGAUUGGCGGCUUAUCAGCUUGUUGGUGGGGUAGGGGCUUACCAAGGCUUUGACGGAUAGCCUGCCUUGGCGGGUGGACGGGCACCAUGGGACUGAGGAACGGCCCAGAACGCUACCGGAGGCAACAGGGGGGAAUCUUGCAGAAUGGGGCGGAGUCUGUUGUAACGAUCUCCGGUGCGGGAAGACCGGCUUUGGGGUGUAAACCGCUUUCUACGGGGAAGAAGACUGAGUGACGGUAAAUGGUAAAGAAGCCACGGCUAACUACGUG
rnacentral:rRNA from 1 species